UACGUAGGGUGCAAGCGUUGUCCGGAAUUAUUGGGCGUAAAGAGCUCGUAGGCGGUUUGUCGCGUCUGCUGUGAAAACUCGGGGCUUAACUCCGGGCCUGCAGUGGGUACGGGCGGACUAGAGUGCGGUAGGGGAGACUGGAAUUCCUGGUGUAGCGGUGAAAUGCGCAGAUAUCAGGAGGAACACCGGUGGCGAAGGCGGGUCUCUGGAACGCAACUGACGCUGAGACGCGAAAGCGUGGGGAGCAAACAGG
rnacentral:rRNA from 1 species